ensembl:lncRNA
CCUCAUUGUUGCUCAUGAUCACAACACCUAUAACUGCUGCAGAAGUAGCAUCUUGGGUUGACACACAGAAAACUCCACUGACCCCCAGCACAGGCUGCAGCUAUUUCCUCCCCUCUAUCUUGGGUUAAGUCCACUGGAUAGAAGCAAAAGCUCAGAGUUCCUUGGCCCUGUUCUGUCCCUUUCUUUCUUUUUUCUUUUUUUUCCAAAUGCAUUAUGCUUGCUCAGAAGGAAAGUGCUAUCCUGCUUUUCCUUUUUGUAAGUUCUUUUUCUUCCUAAUCUUCAAGACAAAGAUGUCCUAUAUUUGUUUUCUAAACAAUUUUCCAGUUUCUUAUGUCUUUCUUCUCUCAUCAAAAUAUGAUGUUUUGAAGUUUUCUGGGCAGGGGAAGUGAAACUGCUUUUUGCCAGUGGAUCAAUUUUAUUCUCCAUCAAAGAAGUUUUUCAGCCUUUUGACAGACAACAAAGCUGCACUUUCCAGAACAAAACAUAUUCCACAGUGGAGGAGGAGUGCCACCCAAUGAAGAGGGUACAGAGCCUGUCUUGAUAAAGCAGAUUUGGGAUACUUCAAUCUUCAGGAAAGAGGCAGUAGUUGUUCUCUGGUGGCUGCUCAUUCCGCCCAUGGUUCUAGAGUCUCCUCUCCAUGUCUCCCCAGAACAGAAACCCAUGUGAACAAGAAACAAUACACUACACAGACUAGAAGAUUUUUCAGUCUUCCAGCGUUUGGCUAACAUUUAAUGGUGUGGAGUGUCCUUCAAUAUGCUACAGGAGAGCUCAACUGAUGUAAAGCAUAACUGGUCUAAACAAAGCACCUACUUAACAAAGAGCCCAUGGCUAGGAAGAAGGAGAGCCCUUCUUUGUUAUGUCAGUCCGCAGCAAUUAAACAAGGAUAAAUGUUCUGAGUCUUAGCUGGGUUUACAAAGAGUAACCAAGCCAGUAGAAGAGAAGACUAGGAAACAUCAGUCAAAAAUUCCUCAAAAUGACCUAAAGUCUGGAAGUUUUGUUUCCU